rnacentral:ribozyme from 14 species
UUUUCAUUUUUAUUUUUUACAAAUCAAUUUUUUUACUCCCAAUAAACUAUUAUUAUAAAAUUAAAAAAGUCAAAGUC